rnacentral:rRNA from 1 species
GACGAACGCUGGCGGCGUGCUUAACACAUGCAAGUCGAACGGUGACAGGAGAGCUUGCUCUUCUUGAUCAGUGGCGAACGGGUGAGUAACACGUGAGUAACCUGCCCCAGACUCUGGAAUAACACCGGGAAACCGGAGCUAAUACCGGAUAUGAGCCGGCGAGGCAUCCCUACCGUCUGGAAAGGUUUUCGGUCUGGAAGGGACUCGCGGCCUAUCAGCUUGUUGGUGAGGUAACGGCUCACCAAGGCGACGACUGGUAGCCGGCCGGAGAGGGCGACCGGCCACACUGGGACUGAGACACGGCCCAGACUCCUACGGGAGGCAGCAGUGGGGAAUAUUGCACAAUGGGCGAAAGCCUGAUGCAGCGACGCCGCGUGAGGGAUGACGGCCUUCGGGUUGUAAACCUCUUUCAGUAGGGAAGAAGCGCAAGUGACGGUACCUACAGAAGAAGCACCGGCUAACUACGUGCCAGCCGCCGCCGUAACAC